CUUAAGCCAUGCAUGUCUAAGAAUGAGGGAUCUCUCGAAUCUGCGAAAGGCUCCGUAUAUCUGUUCUAACCCGCCGCCCCCCGUAGGGACUAUUAAGCGGAUACCCCCGGUAAUUCUGAGGUUAAUACGUGAUGCGUGGCGGCCCUCCUGGGAUAUAGGGCCGCCCCAGGCUAGGACGAUGCGACGCCGGGGCAGUGGCGAUACUGCAGCCUCAGAAGGCUGGGCUCUCCGGGGUGUAGUGAUUGGUGGUGCUCAGGAAUGUACAGCCAACGUCCCCCGCGAUCCCCCCGGGCAAAACCGUGAGGGAGUCCGAGUUUCUGGACCGCCCCAGUGGCGGCCGGGCGGCGGGGAUCAGACCUAUCAACUAGACGACCGGGGAUAGACCGGCCGUGGUGAUAACGGGUACAGAGGAUCAGGGUUCGAUCCUGGAGAGGUAGCCUGAGAGAUCGCUACUACUUCUAAGGAAGGCAGCAGGCGCGCAACGUUCCCAAUGGGGAUACCCUGAGGACGUGAAGGGACAUAUUAAUGCCCGGCCCUUAAAGCCGGGCAAUUGACAUGGGGGAUCGCUAAACCUCCCACCGAGUAACAAUUGGAGGACAAGUCUGGUGCCAGCACCCGCGGUAAUUCCAGCUCCAAUAGCAUCUACUUAAGUUGUUGCAGUUAAAACGCUCGUAGUCGAAGCCGGCGCUGUCGCUCGCCCCUUAGCGAGCCGUGGGGGGAAGCCCUCCCGCCCCCUUGCGGGGCGGGGCACGGCGCAGCCUCCCCGGGGAGCGGGGGAAUGAGCGGCACGCUUGUUGCCCGGGAUCCGCCCAACACGGUCCUUCACUGGGCCUGGGCGGCUGAUCGGGCAUUUUCCUUUGACUAAAUGUGAGCGCUCAACGCAGGCCGCGAAGGCCCUGAAACCUCCAGCAAAGAAUAAUAGAAUGGGCCCCCUAUUCGGUCGGGAUAGGUCUCAGCUAAAAGGCUGGGGCUUGCUUGGUGGACGAGCAGAAGGUAUGUAAGAAGAAGAACGUCCAACGGACUCGCUGACUCCCAGCGACCAGAGAAACGAACACAAGAAACGAGCAGGCCCCAUUUCUUGGGCCAAUGAUUAACAGGGGCGAUCGGGGCGGGCCACAUGGUCGGGGUAGGGGUGAAAUCCGUUGAUCCUGACCAGGUGAACUAGAGCGAAAGCAGCCCGCUAGUACGCUUUCUUUGAUCAAGAACGAAAGUCUGGGGAUCGAAGACGAUCAGAUACCGUCGUAGUCCAGACCCUAAACGAUGCCGGCCAUGGAUGGGCGCUCGUCCAUCCCGACCCCGCCCGCACCUUGUGGGAAACCAUAAGCGUCUGGGCUCUGGGGGGAGUAUGGUCGCAAGACUGAAACUUAAAGGAAUUGACGGAAGAGCACACAAGGAGUGGAGCCUGCGGCUUAAUUUGACUCAACACGGGGAAACUCACUAGAGCAAGAGGGGGCAAGGAUCGACAGGCAAGCAGUGCUUUCGCGAUUCCCCCAGUGGUGGUGCAUGGUCGUUCUUAGUUCGUGGAUUGUUUUGUCUGGUCUAUUCCGCUAACGAGCGAGAACCUACUCUCCGAGGUUAGGUGCCCGGGCACGCAGGGCCGGGCCCCCCGCGAGGGGGGCCUGGCCUAGCUGAGAACGCCCUUGAAUACGUUCCGGGGAGUCCAGCGCCGCGAAGGCGCUGUCGGCGGGUCAAUAACAGGUCAGUGAUGCCCUUAGAUGCUCUAGGCUGCACGCGCGCUACAAUGGGGCAAGCACCGGGCCUUCCUGUGCCGAGAGGCGGCGGGGAAUCCGGUAAAAUGCCCCGUGUCCGGGAUAAUCGCGUGUAAAUCGCUCAUUUGAACAAGGAAUUUCUAGUAGUCGUG
rnacentral:rRNA from 1 species